rnacentral:rRNA from 1 species
UACGUAGGGUGCAAGCGUUAAUCGGAAUUACUGGGCGUAAAGCGUGCGCAGGCGGUUAUGUAAGACAGUUGUGAAAUCCCCGGGCUCAACCUGGGAACUGCUCUGUGACUGCAUAGCUAGAGUACGGUAGAGGGGGAUGGAAUUCCGCGUGUAGCAGUGAAAUGCGUAGAUAUGCGGAGGAACACCGAUGGCGAAGGCAAUCCCCUGGACCUGUACUGACGCUCAUGACACGAAAGCGUGGGGAGCAAACAGG